UAAAAAACCCCUUCAUACGCGUCAUUUCUUGUUUCUUCUCGAAUUCAUUCAUCGAUUUGUGUUUUGGAUGAUUCUCGAAGCUUCGUGAGUGAUUUUCGAUCUUUCCAUGGACCACGACCGACGAAGAUCUUACGAUGCCUGAGCUGCGUAGCAACACUCGCAGAAAUCGGGCCCAGAGAAACCCGAACCCGAUUGCUCCGUUUCAAGCACCUGUUAGGAGGAAUCCCCGGCGGCAGACAAGAGCGGCGGGGGCGGCGGCGGCGGCGGAGGACCAGAAGGCGAUCGUUUCUGGGGAGUGCGGGAACGUGAUCGGAGACGGUGAGAAGAGGGUCGCCGACGGUGCUGUGAAGAGCGGCGGUGAAGCGACGCCGUUGGUUAAGGUUGAAGCGAGAGAGGAAAAAGUUAGGGGUUUGAGAGAAGGUAUUGGCGGCAAGAAGAUGGAUGAAUGCGAUAGUGGCGGUCAAGUACCUGUAGCUGACGAUGAAGGAAACACAGCUCCGCUUCCUGAGAAGGUCCAGGUGGGUGGUUCCCCCAUGUACAAAUUAGACAGAAAGUUAGGUAAAGGUGGUUUUGGUCAAGUAUACGUUGGUCGAAGACUUGGUGCUACUAAUCGAAAUGAACAACCUGGCCUGGGAGCUAUAGAGGUGGCUAUGAAGUUCGAGCAUAGAAGCAGCAAAGGAUGUAACUAUGGCCCACCAUAUGAGUGGCAAGUGUACAAUGCACUUGGUGGCAGUCAUGGAGUGCCUCGUGUCCAUUAUAAAGGUCGACAAGGCGACUAUUAUAUAAUGGUUAUGGAUAUGCUAGGGCCUAGCUUAUGGGAUGUUUGGAAUAGUAACUCACAUGCGAUGUCAACAGAGAUGGUUGCAUGCAUCGGCAUAGAGGCUAUAUCUAUAUUAGAGAAAAUGCAUUCUAGAGGAUAUGUGCAUGGGGAUGUUAAACCAGAGAACUUUCUGCUUGGGCCUCCUGGAACUCCUGAUGAGAAAAAACUUUUCCUUGUGGAUCUCGGUUUAGCUACGAGAUGGCGGGAUAAUGCAACUGGUCUACAUCUUGAAUAUGACCAGCGCCCUGAUGUAUUCAGGGGUACAGUACGGUAUGCUAGCGUACAUGCUCAUCUUGGCAGGACUUGUAGUAGAAGGGAUGACUUGGAAUCUCUUGCGUACACUCUUGUUUUCCUUCUUCGGGGCCGGCUUCCAUGGCAAGGGUAUCAGGGAGAAAACAAAGGUUUCCUUGUCUGCAAGAAGAAGAUGGCUACUUCUCCGGAAACUCUUUGUUGCUUCUGCCCUCAGCCAUUUCGACAAUUUGUUGAGUAUGUGGUCAAUUUGAAGUUUGAUGAGGAGCCUGAUUAUGCUAAGUAUAUUUCUCUUUUCGAUGGUAUAGUCGGCCCAAACCCAGACAUUAGACCAAUAAAUACUGAUGGUGCUCAGAAGCUCAUACAUCACGUGGGUCAAAAGAGGGGGCGAUUGACAAUGGAAGAGGAAGAUGAACAACCAAAGAAGAAGGUUCGAUUGGGGAUGCCAGCAACACAAUGGAUCAGUGUUUAUAAUGCUCACAGACCAAUGAAGCAAAGAUAUCAUUAUAAUGUGGCUGAUAUAAGGCUUGCGCAGCAUAUCGACAAAGGAAAUGAAGAUGGACUAUUUAUCAGCAGUGUGGCAUCUUGCUCGAAUCUCUGGGCUUUGAUCAUGGAUGCGGGAACCGGCUAUACUGCACAAGUUUAUCAGUUGUCACCAUGCUUUCUCCACAAGGAGUGGAUUAUGGAACAAUGGGAGAACAAUUAUUACAUUACAGCAAUAGCAGGAACAAAUAAUGGGAGCUCAUUGGUUGUUAUGUCGAAGGGGACCCAGUAUUUACAGCAGUCCUACAAAGUUAGUGAAUCAUUUCCCUUCAAGUGGAUAAAUAAAAAGUGGAGGGAAGGUUUUUAUGUUACUUCAAUGGCGACUGCUGGAAGCAGAUGGGCAAUUGUAAUGUCUCGUGGUGCUGGUUUUUCUGACCAGGUUGUAGAAUUAGAUUUUCUAUACCCUAGUGAAGGUAUACAUCGGAGAUGGGAUAGUGGUUACCGAAUUACAUCACUAGCUGCAACUUUGGAUCAGGCUGCAUUGAUUCUUAGUGUACCAAGAAGAAAGCCUGCAGAUGAGACACAGGAGACUCUUAGGACCUCUGCGUUCCCUAGCACUCAUGUCAAGGAAAAAUGGGGGAAGAAUCUUUACAUUGCGUAUAUUUGCUAUGGUCGAACUGUUUCAUGAAGUUCUAAAUUUUUGGUUAGAGGAUGCCACUCGUUUUAGCUUUGCCAUGCAAGCAGUGUGAAGUGAGGAAGACGGGAACUCUGCUGCAGCGGGAAUUGGAUGUCUCAGUUAUAUUGUCGGCAUAACAGGUUACUUGUAGUUUCCUGUGAAGAAUUUGAUGUGACAGUUUCGUUAUUUGGCGGCUCAGAUAAACCUGAACGAAGGUAACUGAGUGAACAUAGGGCAUUCGAGGUGAAGAGCAGAAAGCAUGUGAUAACUGAUAAUGAUACUGAUGUAUCCACAUUGCAAGGUAGACGGUUUCUGUAAAAAAAGUACCAACCCGGUUCGAGUCCCUAUCUGGUGAGGAUAACUUGCUCGUGACCUCGAUUCCCAUGCCAAGUGAGCUUACCGCUGAGCCAAGCCGGUCCUUCAAGGAAGAUGAUUCCUGUAUUGACAAAAAAAAAAAAAGAUAAUGAGAAUCAUUUGCAUUGUUUUAAAAUAUGAUGCUACCUUUUGCGAGUUUCCUUGAUUAUUCUGUUGGAGUAGUUCUAUUUGGUAAGACUGAUUGCUACCGGUCGGACCAUAGAUGGUCGUGAUAAACUAUUGUUGUCUAUUUUGGUUGCCUAAGCCUGAGAUUACACGUACAUAGAGAUGAUUCUGAGUGAUGACUGCAGCAAAUUCCGGUUUUCUCUUGGCGUGGAAUCACUGAUCUCAUCUUACGUGCAAUUUUUUUGUAGGUCAAACAUGUAGAUAUCCAAAGCGCUUGUUCUCUUAUGAAGGUGUUUAUAGGGUGUUUGUUGCGAGUAUAACCACUUUAUAUUCUCCUGGAAACUGGGUUCUGGGAAUUGCACGAGGAGAUCGGAGGGUCAGUUCCUUGUUUCAGAUUCAAGUGCACUUACCAAAGUCUUGGAAUCGCACCUGCAGCCAACAAUUAUGGAUUGGAGGCUCUGAUUCCUUAUUAUUUUUUUUGGUUCCUGGGUUUUCUUUGUUUUUCUGUUUGUUUCUCUUUUCAGUUGCCUUGAAGCCAUCACAACAUGCUGUACGAAGGAAAGGGGAAAGAAGACCGAGAGAGGUCAGAAUCUUUGCAGAAGCCACUGAAUAAGACAUUUGUUUUAUAAACCCUUCACUAAUUCCUGCGGAAUGAGGUAGUGAACUUGACCACCCCCCAAGUAUCCAAACAUACGAUGCUUCAGAUUUUCAACUGUCAUUGAAUUUCACCUUUAGCUUAA